GGCAGCAGUAGGGAAUCUUCGGCAAUGGACGAAAGUCUGACCGAGCAACGCCGCGUGAGUGAAGAAGGUUUUCGGAUCGUAAAACUCUGUUGUUAGAGAAGAACGUGUGUGGGAGUGGAAAAUCCAUGUAGUGACGGUAUCUAACCAGAAAGGGACGGCUAACUACGUGCCAGCAGCCGCGGUAAUA
rnacentral:rRNA from 1 species